rnacentral:rRNA from 1 species
GGACCGUGCCAGGUGGGCAGUUUGACUGGGGCGGUCGCCUCCUAAAAGGUAACGGAGGCGCCCAAAGGUUCCCUCAGGCUGAAUGGAAACCAGCCAGAGAGUGUAAAGGCAUAAGGGAGCUUGACUGCAAGACCAACGCGUCGAGCAGAGACGAAAGUCGGGCUUAGUGAUCCCACGGUACCGCGUGGAAGGGCCGUGGCACUCGGAUAAAAGCUACCCCGGGGAUAACAGGCUGGUGAAGCCCAAGAGUUCAUAUCGACGGCUUCGCUCGGCACCUCGAUGUCGGCUCAUCGCAUCCUGGGGCUGGAUAAGGUCCCAAGGGUCGGACUGUUCGUCCGUUAAAGCGAUACGCGAGCUGGGUUCAGACCGUCGUGAGACAGGUCGGUCUCUAUCCGCUGUGGGCGUAAGGGAUUUGAGAGGAGCUGCCCCUAGUACGAGAGGACCGGGGUGGACAGACCUCUGGUGUGCCAGUUGUCGUGCCAACGGCAUCGCUGGGUAGCCAACGUCUGGCAGAGAUAACCGCUGAAAGCAUCUAAGUGGGAAACUCGCCUCAAGAUGAGAUCCCUCAUCCCGUUAAGGGAGUAAGGCCGCAGGAAGACCACCUGCUAUAUAGGCGGCAAGUGUAAGUGCAGCAAUGCAUUCAGCUAAGCCGUACUAAUGGCCGAGGGCUUAGUCA